UAGGGAAUCUUCGGCAAUGGGGGCAACCCUGACCGAGCAACGCCGCGUGAGUGAAGAAGGUUUUCGGAUCGUAAAGCUCUGUUGUAAGUCAAGAACGAGUGUGAGAGUGGAAAGUUCACACUGUGACGGUAGCUUACCAGAAAGGGACGGCUAACUACGUGCCAGCAGCCGCGGUAAUACGUAGGUCCCGAGCGUUGUCCGGAUUUAUUGGGCGUAAAGCGAGCGCAGGCGGUUUGAUAAGUCUGAAGUUAAAGGCUGUGGCUCAACCAUAGUUCGCUUUGGAAACUGCCAAACUUGAGUGCAGAAGGGGAGAGUGGAAUUCCAUGUGUAGCGGUGAAAUGCGUAGAUAUAUGGAGGAACACCGGUGGCGAAAGCGGCUCUCUGGUCUGUAACUGACGCUGAGGCUCGAAAGCGUGGGGAGCGAACAGGAUUAGAUACCCUGGUAGUCCACGCCGUAAACGAUGAGUGCUAGGUGUUGGAUCCUUUCCGGGAUUCAGUGCCGCAGCUAACGCAUUAAGCACUCCGCCUGGGGAGUACGACCGCAAGGUU
rnacentral:rRNA from 1 species